rnacentral:rRNA from 1 species
CAGCCGCCGCGGGAAUACGAAGGGGGCUAGCGUUGCUCGGAAUUACUGGGCGUAAAGGGCGCGUAGGCGGACAGUUCAGUCGGGGGUGAAAUCCCGAGGCUCAACCUCGGAGCUGCCUUUGAUACUGUGGAUCUUGAGUCCGGGAGAGGUGAGUGGAACUGCGAGUGUAGAGGUGAAAUUCGUAGAUAUUCGCAAGAACACCAGUGGCGAAGGCGGCUCACUGGCCCGGAACUGACGCUGAGGCGCGAAAGCGUGGGGAGCAAACAGGAUUAGAUACCCGGGUAGUCCCUGUCUCUUAUAA